GGUGAGAGACCCAUGACUGAUCCCUUGAAGCUAGUAAGCUGCUACGUGUAGAGUUGAGUGUUAUUUUGUGUGGGUGCAUUUUGCUUUUUAUUUGUCUGCUCAAAAGCAUAAGGGAAUUUAACCUUCUUACAUACUACAAACUGGGCUGGAGCUUAAUGGGAACACAAGGAAUCGAAAACCACCAAGAAAUGAUAAGAAAAAGUUACCAGCUUCUUCUGCAGGCGGCUAACUAUUUAAACAUCAAGAACUUGCUUGAUCUUACAUGCAAGACUGUAGCAGGCGGCUAACUAUUUAAACAUCAAGAACUUGCUUGAUCUUACAUGCAAGACUGUAGCAGACAUGAUCAAGUGAAAGACACAUGAGGAGAUCCGUAGGACCUUUAACAUUAAGAAUGACUUCACUCCAGAGGAAGAGGAGGAAGUUCAUCGUGAAAACCAAUGGACUUUUGAAUGAAUUUCUUCAAGGAUAUGUCUAGUGGGUUUAUGUUAUAUUUCGUUUUAUUCAUAGAAGAAUUUUAAGUUAGGUCUAUCUAAGUUUAUUAGUACUUGAUUAUCUUUUGGUUUAUGUUUGUUGAGUCCGUUCACGAAUAUGUUUCUUCGUUGAAAGAUUUUAGUGCAUCUUGAAUUGUAACUAAUAGUUAGUUAUGAUUGGCAGAUGCGUUUAUAUGCUACACUGU